ACGGGGCCCGCACAAGCGGUGGAGCAUGUGGUUAAUUCGAAGCAACGCGAAGAACCUUACCAGGUCUUGACAUCCCCUGACAACCCGAGAGAUCGGGCGUUCCCCCUUCGGGGGGACAGGGUGACAGGUGGUGCAUGGUUGUCGUCAGCUCGUGUCGUGAGAUGUUGGGUUAAGUCCCGCAACGAGCGCAACCCUCGACCUUAGUUGCCAGCAUUCAGUUGGGCACUCUAAGGUGACUGCCGGCUAAAAGUCGGAGGAAGGUGGGGAUGACGUCAAAUCAUCAUGCCCCUUAUGACCUGGGCUACACACGUGCUACAAUGGGCGGUACAAAGGGUCGCGAACCCGCGAGGGGGAGCCAAUCCCAAAAAGCCGCUCUCAGUUCGGAUUGCAGGCUGCAACUCGCCUGCAUGAAGCCGGAAUCGCUAGUAAUCGUGGAUCAGCAUGUCACGGUGAAUACGUUCCCGGGUCUU
rnacentral:rRNA from 1 species